GGCGCCGGCCGGGCCCGCCCUCGGGAAGCUCGGGUGGCGGGCUCCGCUCGCUCCGACCGCCUGUUCGAGGGUUGAUCUGGAACGCUGCGCCCGGCCCGCUGUACUGCCUGCUGUCGCUUAGCUUUUCGUCCUCCAGACCAGGCAGUUCCCCCCUCCCCCUUCCCCGCCGGAGGCGUGGUCCUCUUGGCCCCACUCGGACACCCACACCAAAAUAAGGGCCACCUCUUUCGGGGAGGACCCUCACAGCUGGGCACUGGCUGAAAAUGCACUGGGACGAACGGCCCGGAAGAAGUGAGAUUGGGGGUCAGGAUCCGAGCGUGCGAGGCGGCGAUGGGAGUGCAGUUAGGAAUCCUGACUUCUGGGGUCUGUCUACACCCGGCUUCGGUGUUUUUGGAGGGCGGGAGUGUGGAGAGGAGAGUGUAGGCUGCUGAACCAGCAAGAGUCGGCGCACCUCGCUUUUGCAGAGGUCACUGCGCUGGGAAAGAAUUCAACACGGACUUGAAUUUCAUCUAGCUCUAGCAAAGCUUGGAUACGCAAUGAGAACUGACUACAGUGGCAGUUUCUCAGAGCCUUCCAGGAAGAAUUGCUAGCUAUGUACCUCAGGAAGAAGAAACUUGCCCUUCAGAGAAUCAUACGAAGGAGUGAGGAAUGAGGAGGGGCCUGGAAUUCGGAAGUGGCUCAUCUGGACAGGGCUGACUCAGGGUGUCCCCUAAGCUUGCAAUCGUGAGACUGGCAGGGGCCACCGUCAGCCGGGGGCUUGACUAGGCUGGAGGACGUAUUCAAAGGUACUACCUCACACGGCUACA